UAUAUAAACUUUGUGCAACCGCCAUGGUCUUCCUAGCAUAUAAACAGUUAUAUCACUUCCUUUUUCUUCUUGAAAUAACGUCUUGUAAAUAUACUGUGCAGUUGUUAGCAACUUUCUUCUGUAAAAAAAAAAAUCAUCACAUUAUUAUUUUUACAAAUAAAAAUUCGUUAUCGUUAAAAAAAUAAACCCCGGUUAUAAAGUGUAAAUAUAUAUCCACAUAUAUUUUUUCAGAUAACGUCACAAAAAUCAGUUCAGGUAUUCCAUGAAUAGAACAAUCACGAGCACGUAUCGCACAUCAGACACGAUGACAUCAUCUGUAAUAAGUAUUACGUAGGCGUUCAUUAUUUUAUAAAAAGCUGCUAUCGACUGGAUGAUCAACUCAAUCAACUCUAUAAAUACAAAUAUAAUUGAUAAUUAAUUCAUCGGAAUUUAAUUGGGGAAUUGAAAUUAACGAUAACUGAUAUCAUGACGACGACCAUGAUGAUGAUGAUGAUGAUGAUGAUGAGUGAUAAUUUAAUUAAUCAAGUACUCGCAUGGUAUUUUCUAGAUGAUGGAGUCUAAGGAAUGGAGACUUAUAAUAAAUAAUUUAAAUUAAAAAUAAAAUUACUCACUUUUUAG